UACAGGGGGGGCAAGCGUUGUUCGGAAUUACUGGGCGUAAAGGGCUCGUAGGCGGCCAACUAAGUCAGACGUGAAAUCCCUCGGCUUAACCGGGGAAUUGCGUCUGAUACUGGAUGGCUUGAGUUUGGGAGAGGGAUGCGGAAUUCCAGGUGUAGCGGUGAAAUGCGUAGAUAUCUGGAGGAACACCGGUGGCGAAGGCGGCAUCCUGGACCAACACUGACGCUGAGUGAGCGAAAGCCAGGGGAGCAAACGGG
rnacentral:rRNA from 1 species